rnacentral:rRNA from 1 species
GACAGAGGGUGCAAACGUUGUUCGGAAUUACUGGGCGUAAAGCGCGUGUAGGCGGCUAAGUAAGUCGGGCGUGAAAUCCCACGGCUCAACCGUGGAAGUGCACUCGAAACUGCAUAGCUAGAGUCCUGGAGAGGAAGGUGGAAUGCUUGGAUGUAGAGGUGAAAUCGUAGAUAUCAAGCGGAACACCGGUGGCGAAGGCGG